rnacentral:sRNA from 1 species
GCUCUUCCUGCAGAGAGACAUCACUUUCUGGGCAUCAGCAUCGUGGGGCAGAGCAACGACCGUGGAGACGGCGGCAUCUACAUCGGCUCCAUCAUGAAGGGCGGGGCUGUGGCCGCUGACGGCCGCAUCGAGCCAGGCGACAUGUUGCUGCAGGUGAAUGACGUGAACUUUGAGAACAUGAGCAAUGAUGAUGCCGUGCGGGUGCUGCGGGAGAUCGUAUCCCAGACGGGGCCCAUCAGCCUCACUGUGGCCAAGUGCUGGGACCCAACGCCCCGAAGCUACUUCACUGUCCCACGGGGUGAGUGGCCCUCGGGGCACACGGGGCGGGAUGGGGAGGGGGCGCCUACCCAGCCUGAAAGUCUCUCUCCUCUGUGCCCUGCACCCUGCCCUCCCACCCUGUCCAUCUGUCCGCCUGUCAUCGCCACGUGGCGGCCACCCAGCUGACCCGGUGCGGCCCAUCGACCCCGCCGCCUGGCUGUCCCACACGGCGGCACUGACAGGAGCCCUGCCCCGCUACGGUACGAGCCCCUGCUCCAGCGCCGUCACGCGCACCAGCUCCUCCUCACUAACCAGCUCCGUGCCUGGUGCUCCACAGCUGGAAGAGGCGCCGCUGACGGUGAAGAGUGACAUGAGCGCCGUCGUCCGGGUCAUGCAGCUUCCAGACUCGGGACUGGAGAUCCGCGACCGCAUGUGGCUCAAGAUCACCAUCGCCAAUGCCGUCAUCGGGGCGGACGUGGUGGACUGGCUGUACGCACACGUGGAGGGCUUCAAGGAGCGACGGGAGGCCCGGAAGUACGCCAGCAGCUUGCUGAAGCACGGCUUCCUGCG